UAGGGUUUGGGAUGAUGAUGGUGAUUCAGUGUCUCUCUGUCAGUGACACACACACUGGACACAACAACUAAAGCUCUAAACUAACUUUUUAUUGACAGAUGCCUCAUUUAAUGUUCUGGAUUUUGAUGAAAGGAAAUCCCAUAAAGCCUACUGGCCAGGACUUUGUUAUGGCAUCUUCUGAUUGGGUGUCUCAGGUCAGGACUUUGUUAUGACAUCUUCUGAUUGGGUGUCUCAGGUCAGGACUUUGUUAUGACAUCUUCUGAUUGGGUGUCUCAGGUCAGGACUUUGUUACGGCAUCUUCUGAUUGGGUGUCUCAGGUCAGGACUUUGUUAUGACAUCUUCUGAUUGGGUGUCUCAGGUCAGGUCUGAGCCAUGAUCAGAAUGUGUCUGUCUAUUUCCAGCCUUGCCAUUUCUACCUGUCCUGAUCUAGUGUUUGACCCCUGACCUCCACACAACGUCUCACUGUCCAUGUCUGCUUUUAGCUCCCACCUCUACUUCACUGUGUUAUAAUGGACCUUAUGCUUGUUAUGUCACUUCUGUAACCAGGUAUCAAACAUACUGACCUUUCUGACCCUGUCCCAUGGCCCUACUUCACUGUGUUAUAAUGGACCUUAUGCUUGUUAUGUCACCUCUGUAACAAGGUAUCAAACAUACUGACCUUUCUGACCCUGUCCCAUGGCCCUACUUUCUAGAACUGAACAUUUAAAUCCUCUAAGUUUUGUUUAGUCUCCAUUUAUUAAUUUAUUGAUGUAUUGUUGUAUAUUGGGGUUGUGCCACAGAGCAUCAUGGGGGUUUGUAUGUGUUGAGAUUAUCACGUUCCAGAUAAAUGGUUGAACUGA